rnacentral:rRNA from 1 species
AAAAAAAAAGCAAUCAAAUACAACUUUCAACAACGGAUCUCUUGGCUCUCGCAUCGAUGAAGAACGCAGCGAAAUGCGAUAAGUAAUGUGAAUUGCAGAUUUUCAGUGAAUCAUCGAAUCUUUGAACGCACCUUGCGCUCCUUGGUAUUCCGAGGAGCAUGCCUGUUUGAGUGUCAUUAAAUCCUCAACCCCGUCCGUCGGUCAGGGCUUGGACUUUGGAGCGUGCUGGCGAAGGUCGGCUCCUCUUUAAAUGCAUCAGCGGAGAAAAACAAACCUUUUCCCCCCUUCAGCGUGAUAACUGCGUUGCGCUGUGGUCGCGAAAGGGUCCGCUCAUAAUUGUCCUCGGACAAACACCAAAUCUGUUUGACCUCAGAUCAGGUAG